GAUGAACGCUGGCGGCGUGCCUAAUACAUGCAAGUCGAGCGAACAGACGAGGAGCUUGCUCCUUUGACGUUAGCGGCGGACGGGUGAGUAACACGUAGGUAACCUACCUAUAAGACUGGGAUAACUUCGGGAAACCGGAGCUAAUACCGGAUAAUAUUUCGAACCGCAUGGUUCGAUAGUGAAAGAUGGCUUUGCUAUCACUUAUAGAUGGACCUGCGCCGUAUUAGCUAGUUGGUAAGGUAACGGCUUACCAAGGCAACGAUACGUAGCCGACCUGAGAGGGUGAGCGGCCACACGGGAACGGAGACGCGGUCCAGACGCCGGCGGGAGGCAGCAGGGGGGAAUCUUCCGCAGGGGGCGAAAGCCGGACGGAGCAACGCCGGGGGAGGGAGGAAGGUCUUGGUAUCGUAAAACUGUUUUAUGGGGAAAAAAAAAAGGUGAAAGUAACUGUGCACGUCUUGACGGUACCUAAGAAAAAAACCACGGAAAACUACGUG
rnacentral:rRNA from 1 species